UUCUGGGAACCAUGAAGUGGUUCUGAGCAGAAUCCUUCAUCCUGGCUGAAUGGAAAAAAGAAAGAAAAAAAGAAAGAAAACAUGACUUGCCCUGGUUUUCGGUACCACAAGGAUGAAAUAAAGAAAUAAAAAGAGGAACAACAAAACCGCUUCAGAACUCAGGGAAUGUGCCCCACCGGUUAGCACAACCACAUCAGAGGCAGAACCCCGAGGUCUACCUGUCCUGAGGACUUCAUGCUGUUGUGGAGUUUUCCUCUGCUCAUUGUCUUCAAAGUCACCACAUCUGUUGUAAUCCGUGAGUUGUAUGAAAACUCCAAGGUGGCUUCCAGCUCCUCACUGGGCAGUGUCAUUGGUACUUACAAGAAUAGUGAUUGAUCUUUUUCAAGCAUUGCUGCUGGAGCAGAUCAAUGACUCAUCCACCGCCCUCAGAGAGGACUUAGAGAUGUAGAUUGUUAGAAAUGUCCACCACCCUCAGAAAGAAUUUGGAGAUGUAGAUUGUAGUAAAGUUAGGUUAAGAUUCUUUUGCUAGUGGCUUUGAUGUAGAAAAUCUUAGGAAACAGUUUGAAGUUCAGAAAGAUUCACUCUGAAUACUUUAGCUAGAAAUGUUUUGAAUUCAGGCAACAAGAACAAUGGCAGUCCAGCUAUGGCUGAUGUGACUCUCGAGCUAAAGCUGGGCUGGUGACCAAGGCAAUGAUUAAUUUCUUGUAUCAUAUUUACCCUCAGAUUCCUGACAGGAUUUAAUGAAAAAUGUUAAUGAGUAGUUGCGCACCCUGAAGAUUUACAGUAAUAAUGACUGAUUGUUUUUAUAUAAAAGUUUAAAUUUGUGAUACUCUUAAGAUUUUUUAAUGAGGUUACAUUUUAAGAUGAAUGAUAAGAUAAUUGCCAUAUGUCAGUGGGAGAGAUUGGCUGAGAACAUUACCUUGCUUGCUUACACUUUGGUAAUCUAUAACAAGUUGGUUACUUAGGAAUGUAUGUGGGUUCUUGAGAUUAAUUUGUUUUUGUUUUUAGUCCAUAAUGUGUAUAACAUCUGCUCAUGUGAGGGUAAUAGGAAACAUGUUUUUUCUUCUGUAUAUUCAUUGUAACCAUUCACUUAAAGAAAAAUAGAAUAUAACCACAUUGUGAUUUUUGUUUUGCUGGAGUAUUUUGGCAAAUUAUAUAAGCUUUCUGAGAAAAAAUAAAGCUGUUGAAGCUUGCUCAUUGGA